GAAAUGCGAUAAGUAAUGUGAAUUGCAGAAUUCAGUGAAUCAUCGAAUCUUUGAACGCACAUUGCGCUCUUUGGUAUUCCGGAGAGCAUGCCUGUUUGAGAAUCAGUAAAUUCAUCAACCCGAGGUGUUCGGAAUUCGUUCCAAACGUCUUGUGGUUGGAUAUGGGCCUUUUGCUGUUUUAAUAGCAAUGGCCUGAAAUUGAAUGUUACGCUCCUUUGGACUGAGAGGUCUUGGGCAAACGCAUGAAUGAGGUAACUCAGCAGUACGUAAGCCUGUUAGAUGGAUCAGUACCUUGUUGGGUAACUCAACUGAUCACCCAGAGUUUGCAGGCGUCAGCCGGCUCAUUCUGAACACUUGGUCUCAAAUCAGGUAGGAAAACCCGCUGAACUUAA
rnacentral:misc_RNA from 1 species